CCUACGGGAGGCAGCAGUGAGGAAUAUUGGUCAAUGGACGAGAGUCUGAACCAGCCAAGUAGCGUGAAGGAUGACUGCCCUAUGGGUUGUAAACUUCUUUUAUAUGGGAAUAAAAUGUUCCACGUGUGGGAUUUUGUAUGUACCAUAUGAAUAAGGAUCGGCUAACUCCGUGCCAGCAGCCGCGGUAAUACGGAGGAUCCGAGCGGUAUCCGGAUUUAUUGGGUUUAAAGGGAGCGUAGGUGGAUUGUUAAGUCAGUUGUGAAAGUUUGCGGCUCAACCGUAAAAUUGCAGUUGAAACUGGCAGUCUUGAGUACAGUAGAGGUGGGCGGAAUUCGUGGUGUAGCGGUGAAAUGCUUAGAUAUCACGAAGAACUCCGAUUGCGAAGGCAGUUCACUGGACUGCAACUGACACUGAGGCUCGAAAGUGUGGGUAUCAAACAGGAUUAGAUACCCCUGUAGUC
rnacentral:rRNA from 1 species